rnacentral:rRNA from 1 species
ACACGUGGGUAACCUGCCUGUAAGACUGGGAUAACUCCGGGAAACCGGGGCUAAUACCGGAUGGUUGUUUGAACCGCAUGGUUCAAACAUAAAAGGUGGCUUCGGCUACCACUUACAGAUGGACCCGCGGCGCAUUAGCUAGUUGGUGAGGUAACGGCUCACCAAGGCAACGAUGCGUAGCCGACCUGAGAGGGUGAUCGGCCACACUGGGACUGAGACACGGCCCAGACUCCUACGGGAGGCAGCAGUAGGGAAUCUUCCGCAAUGGACGAAAGUCUGACGGAGCAACGCCGCGUGAGUGAUGAAGGUUUUCGGAUCGUAAAGCUCUGUUGUUAGGGAAGAACAAGUACCGUUCGAAUAGGGCGGUACCUUGACGGUACCUAACCAGAAAGCCACGGCUAACUACGUGCCAGCAGCCGCGGUAAUACGUAGGUGGCAAGCGUUGUCCGGAAUUAUUGGGCGUAAAGGGCUCGCAGGCGGUUUCUUAAGUCUGAUGUGAAAGCCCCCGGCUCAACCGGGGAGGGUCAUUGGAAACUGGGGAACUUGAGUGCAGAAGAGGAGAGUGGAAUUCCACGUGUAGCGGUGAAAUGCGUAGAGAUGUGGAGGAACACCAGUGGCGAAGGCG